UACGGGGGGAGCAAGCGUUGUUCGGAUUUACUGGGCGUAAAGGGCGCGUAGGCGGUCAGCACAAGUCAGUUGUGAAAUCCCUCAGCUUAACUGGGGAACUGCGUCUGAGACUGGCAAGCUCGAGUGCAGGAGAGGAACGCGGAAUUCCAGGUGUAGCGGUGAAAUGCGUAGAUAUCUGGAGGAACACCGGUGGCGAAGGCGGCGUUCUGGACUGCAACUGACACUGAGGAACGAAAGCCAGGGGAGCAAACGGG
rnacentral:rRNA from 1 species